CACCCCCACCCCCACCCCGCGUACUGUCUCUUUAGCUAAGCGAGGGGUGGUGUUGGUGGAAAGAACCAGGUCAGAAACGCUCGUUUGAAUCAGCAGACCCAUUGCAAUGGCAAUAGCAGCAGCAGCAGCAGCAGCAGCCGUCGCUUGCGAUCGCCGCCUCGCUCACUUCCUUUCAAUGGCCCAAUGGCGCGGGAGAGGCGGCGCUAGAUCUAGCAAUAGAGGUCCGCGCGCGCCAAACAAAAAGUGUCAGCAAUUGCUGUUUUGAAAAUCGGCUUUUUUUUUUUUUUUGUAAAUAAUUCGCAAGCGCUCGUUUCCGCAUUUCGGGAUUCUUGACUCUUCCCGAGCCGGUGCUUUUGUCCGGGAAAGUCUCGGGAAAGCAGCAAAACGAAGGUCUCCUUUUAAGGAUUUACUUUAUCCGAUUUGGGUAAACGACCAUCCCUUGAUGAUCUCUUCCCCCACCUUUCCAGAAAGAAAAAGAGACAGCAAAAGUUCAAGUCUUUCAAAAGUAAACUUGAAGGGUGGGGAAAUGCGAUGCAAAAGACGGUUGCGUCCUCUUGUUUGACAGUGGCGGGAGUGGUUCCCUGGGGAAUCUUUGGAGACCUUUGGAUUGGAGAUCGGCCAAGUCAGCUGAGGUGUGUCUGUUUAUUUUUCCUCCCGUUGGACGUCUGCUUUCCUUGCCUCCUUUAAGGGCGGCUUCAUCGACCUGCUGCGAUGUGACGAGAAAUGUUCCUUUUAUUUGCUCACAACUUCUGAUAGACAAGAGGGCUGAAACGUUUGUAUUAUUCCUAAUACCGGUAGUAAAUACAUUUUAUUUUUAAUCCUCCAUACUUAACUAAUACAUUUCACAAGAUCCACUGGUCCAAGGUUCAUUACUUUAACCCAUUUUGAAGGUAACAACAAAGAUCUUCAACCUCACCACUCAGGAGAAAUAAAACUCUUGGUUCUAUCCAUUGUGACAUUCUUUCUCUAACUUCAAAAUUGCUGCAUCACCCUGCUCAACAAAAAUUAUGCAUCCGGUUUUAACUGGUGACCCAUUCUCAAACAUCCAGGUUGUCCUGUCUGGGAUAUAUGAGGAGAAAAUAAAGAUCAGAGGUGGUGCUUUGCUGCAUGCCAGGAUAACUUUUCAGGGUCAGAUUCCUAUUCCAGAUUCCUGAGAUAGAAACAUUGGUUCUUAAAAUCUACAGCAUGACUGACCCAGAUUUUAAAUUCGAGGCCUAAAUUAUGACACAGGAUUUAUCUGAGAUAUAUUUAGUGCUCCAGCCCUCAAGAUUUGACUAGUCACUUCCAUAGCAAAGGUUUAAGCCUCUUAAUAUCUGCUCUCCUUAAUAUCACAAGAAAUACAAUAUAUUCAAGAAACUGACCCUUCCAAGACAAUAGAAAACUCAGGAGACUCCUGACUGGAAUUUAUAAUAAAAAGCUGGAAAGCAAAAGAAGCAGAGGCGUUUCUGAGGAUGGAAGAGUCCAAGGUCUGCGUCACACAUCAAACCUGAGGCACUCUCAGUGUUAUUGCUAGGACUAUGAUUCUCUACGUCUGUCCUUCUCCUCAUCUUCCGAUGGAUUCCCAGUCGAGGAAAUGACAGCGUAUGGUAUAAUCUUACUCCUAUUUGGCUUUCUAUUCCUACUGUUGUUAUUUUCAGUUUGAAUCAAUCAUAAAUGAUCUUACUGUCCAGCUUUUGCCUCAGUUCUCUCUAGAGAAUAAAAAUAGAAAAAUAAAAAUGCUUUCAUCCAGAAAGCAUUACGAUUUCAAAAAAGAUAGUCUGUUAAUUUAGUUUAAAUUGUCGCCUCAGUUCUCUCUAGAGAAUAAAAAUAGAAAAAUAAAAAUGCUUUCAUCCAGAAAGCAUUACGAUUUCAAAAAAGAUAGUCUGUUAAUUUAGUUUAAAAUGUCGCAGAAAAUGGCAUUCCUGUUUUCCACUGGCAAGUUAUAAUCUAACCUUCCCCAUACCUUGUAGGACAACAAUUCCCAUUUAUUUAUACAUCACAUUAUAGUCUCUGACUUACAAAGUCUGAGCAACAUGUCAGAUUAGAAAGCAAAAAAGAUACUCUAGAACAUAUUGGGGUAUCAAUGUAGCCAAUGUCUAUAACUCCUUAAUUCAAACCAGUCUUAUUUUGGGACUGCACAGCAUCUGCCACGAACAGCUGCGAGAAACCUAGGACAACCAGCAGCUGCUUUCAGGAAUUAAGAGCACUCUUAUUUCCUCAAAGGCACUUCUGUUGCCUUUGAAUACUGAACCUUUUACUGUCAUAUAAUAUUCCAGGAGAAGGUGAACACACUACGUUCCCUUGUAUCUUCCUGGCAAGAAAAAAACCCACACCAUUUUGGCUUAAGCAAUAUAGUAGUGAUAUUGGUGAUGGAGCAAUUGUAGUAAAAAUGGAAAGUUUGAAGUUGCCUAUCCAAUGUAGGUUCUUUUAUUUUGAGGAUCCCAAAUGAGAUUGGGAGUUGUUACUUGUUACUCAUAUUCCACUUACAUAUGGUACUCUCUAGCAGAGGCAUUCUGGCAGAGAAUGGGAGAGUACUCUAAAUUUGAUGCUUACAGCCACCUGCUUCCCAAAGCCACAGACUUGAUAGUGGGCCAGCUAAAGUCCUUACCAUUAAGAAGGGAGUGAGGACAUUUCAGGAGUAGAUUUUAAAAAGUCAGGAUGGAAGUUGUAUAACUGCAUGUCAAAGCCCUGAUUCUUUGUGUGUGUGUGUGUGGAGGGGAGCACAUGUAUGACACAUGUUGUUUUUUUUGACCCUCCUCUGCAAGCUUUCCUGAAAACAGGACUGUGGGAAGCGACUUGGACUCAGCUCCAUGGAGUGCUUUGCACCACAGAGUGGACUGCAUUCUUUUCUGCUUCUGAUAAAAUGGCAGGUCGCACUAUUCUUAGCAAAAGCAUUUUCUUGGCCAUUCAUGCCAGAGGGCUGAAAUCUUGCCAGGCUGUCGGAUCUGUUGGAAAAAGUCUAAAGAGAAACCAAAUGUUGUGGCACAGCUAGAUGUGUACGUGUGUGUGUGUGUAGGUGGGAGCAUUGCGUUCCCAAGCAGGUUUGAAAGGGUGCUUCAUCUGAAGAUCUUUCGGGUCCACUCUUCUCCAAAUAGGAAUAAAUUAUUUAUUUUGAACAAGCAGGACAAAUGAACAUAAAACCAUUGGAACCAUGCAGUACAACGCAAGGGUUGGAAGAGAAUUCUAUGGUGAGUUGCAGUUCCGUUUGGGCGGGAGGAGAGAAGUGGGGAGGAAAUCUGAGGACAUAUACAGUCAAAUUAGCAAGCCAGAAGAGAGAACUCAUAAUUUUUCCAAUUGAUAAAUUCCCUAUAUGCAGUUAAUGUUUUUUUUUUUAUGAGAAUAGCCUGGAAAAAAAAAAAGAAGACCCUACUUUCAGUCGGAAAGAGCAUGUACCUUCUAGUCUUUCCAUGAGGAAAAAAGGGCAUCCAGUAUGACCGUCCCAGGUCUGUCCAAGCUACCAUGGUCUUUAUUGCUGUUAUUUUCAUUACUUUUCAGCAGCAUUCCCUUUUCCAGUCUUUCUACUGCUUCUUCGUGUAUCACAUUGAAACAUUUCAACCAGAUAAUUCUUAACGUCACGUUGCAAUUUGCCCCAAUGGAAUGUUGGAUGAAAAAUGGACAAUCUGCCUAGAUGAGUUCAUGGGGAGGUCUUCAAAUUGCCCAACCAAUUCACAUCACAUGUGUUCCAGCAUCCGGAAUGAAAUGCAUUUCCCCAUUGGCUAAUGAUGUGCUAAUGGGACAACUAAAUCAGAAGAGAAAACCAAUCAGCAUAUCUAUAACAUCUGAAGACCUGCAAAUCUGGCAAUGGAUAUUACAUCAAAGGUAAAACAGAUUAGUGAUGUACACAAGGAUGAGUUAAAGCCUUAUAUGGUUAGUGGGAAACUGACAUGAGAAAAGGCCAAUAAGGAACUUGGACUAUGUUUCUUCUCUCUUGACUGCUGAAGAAAACCAGGGUGUCUAGCUUUGAUACUAAAGUCAUAUCCUGUAAGAGAAAGGGAUAUUUCCAUUGUGGGUUGUCUGACCUGUUUUUUCUCCCUGGUUUUUGUCAGUGGUUAAAACUUCCAGAAAUAAAAAAAGAUUUGCCUCAUUUUA